rnacentral:lncRNA from 1 species
GAUCUAUGUCUAGGAAGAGUGGAGAAGUUGGCUGACUAGGGAUGUUGGAUGCCAGGUCUCCUCAGAAAGAUCAAAGUUACAGGUGAAUGCCCAUGAUUUAAAUGGAAAUCUGAGGGAAUGAAGCAAGGACCUGUUGGAGCACCCAUGGGAAGAACCUGGGGCACAAAAGAGGAAAGCAGCAAGAGACUGACAGAGAUUGUCUCCCUAGAAACCUGGA